GGAUUAGAUACCCUGGUAGUCCACGCCGUAAACGAUGUCGACUAGCCGUUGGGACCCUUGAGGUCUUAGUGGCGCAGCUAACGCGUUAAGUCGACCGCCUGGGGAGUACGGUCGCAAGAUUAAAACUCAAAUGAAUUGACGGGGGCCCGCACAAGCGGUGGAGCAUGUGGUUUAAUUCGAAGCAACGCGAAGGACCUUACCUGGUCUUGACAUCCAGAGAAUUCGGCAGAGAUGCCUUAGUGCCUUCGGGAACUCUGAGACAGGUGCUGCAUGGCUGUCGUCAGCUCGUGUCG
rnacentral:rRNA from 1 species